AGGAGGACGCUUACCACGGUGUGGCCGACGACUGGGGUGAAGUCGUAACAAGGUAGCCGUAGGGGAACCUGCGGCUGGAUCACCUCCUUAACGAA
rnacentral:rRNA from 1 species